CUCUGCUAUCCACUUUGAGGGAUCUUCCCAAGGUGCUCGUUUACCAUACAUCUGAAUGUCCACCCCAAAAUAAAAAUCAAGACCAGAAUUCAAAACCCUCUCCACAUAGUAUUAUUAUGGACAUUAUGUGAAAGAAGAAAUGAUAGUUGGCAGCAGCAAGAACUACAUAUGCAAAUUGAAAAUAACAUGCUAAAGUUUUACCUGAAGCCCUUCUCUCACAGCUUCCAUAAUAUAUGGUACCAAGGAAUAAUUCCAGAGAUCUGUGAACCACACCCUGGAACCAUCAACAUCUAUAGGGCAGGGUAGAAAAAGGCGAGGACCUGGAAAAAAAGAUCAUAUUUGUUUUUAAAAUCUGCUAACAAUGUCAUUUAUAAUAUUGUCUAUUCAUUUAAAACAUGAAAAAUAAUAGAAAAUGUUUUUCAUUAUGUUGCUUACAAAGUGUUAGAGUAUGGCUUGUACAAACUACAUUUAUAAAACACAAAUUCCUUCAUAAUUUCUAGUUGGGCUUUGCUUAUGUUGGGAGAAAUAAUAAAUCAUACUUAC